CCCGGUACCUCGGGGUGCCCUGGAUGGGGCUGAGAUGCGCAAGCGAACCCGUUGAACCUGAACCGGUUAGAACCGGCGGAGGGAAGGUGAUGGAUGAUCCU
rnacentral:ncRNA from 2 species